rnacentral:rRNA from 1 species
AACAGCUCAAAUUUGAAAUCUGGCGCCUUUGGCGUCCGAGUUGUAAUUUGCAGAGGAUGCUUUUGGGCGGCCGCCGGGUCUAAGUUCCUUGGAACAGGACGUCAUAGAGGGUGAGAAUCCCGUAUGUGACCGGGCAGGCACCCUCCACAAAGCUCCUUCGACGAGUCGAGUUGUUUGGGAAUGCAGCUCUAAAUGGGAGGUAAAUUUCUUCUAAAGCUAAAUACCGGCCGGAGACCGAUAGCGCACAAGUAGAGUGAUCGAAAGAUGAAAAGCACUUUGGAAAGAGAGUUAAAAAGCACGUGAAAUUGUUGAAAGGGAAGCGCUUGCAACCAGACUUGCCAACGGUGUUCGGCUGGUCUUUUGAUCGGUUUAUUCUCCGCGAGCAGGCCAGCAUCAUUUGGGACCGUCGGAUAAAGGUUUUAGGAAUGUGGCUCCCCCUGGAGCGUUAUAGCCUAGUUCACAAUACGGCGUGACUCGAGUGAGGUCCGCGCUUCGGCUAGGAUGCUGGCGUAAUGGUUGUAAGCGGCCCGUCUUGAAACACGGACCAAGGAGUCUAACAUCUAUGCGAGUGUUCGGGCAUUAAACCCCUACGCGUAAUGAAAGUGAACGGAGGUGGGAACCGCAAGGUGCACCAUCGACCGAUCCUGAUGUCUUCGGAUGGAUUUGAGUAAGAGCAUAGCUGUUGGGACCCGAAAGAUGGUGAACUAUGCCUGAAUAGGGUGAAGCCAGAGGAAA